rnacentral:rRNA from 1 species
GCUUAUGGCUAUAUCACAUUGAAUGCACUGGUUCUUGUCUGAUCUCCGAAGUUAAGCAACAUUGAGCCUAGUUAGUACUUAGAUGAGUGACCACUUGAGAAACCUAGGUGCUGUAAGCA